UACGAAGGGGGCUAGCGUUGCUCGGAAUCACUGGGCGUAAAGCGCACGUAGGCGGCUUUCUAAGUCAGGGGUGAAAUCCUGGAGCUCAACUCCAGAACUGCCUUUGAUACUGGAAAGCUUGAGUUCGGGAGAGGUGAGUGGAACUGCGAGUGUAGAGGUGAAAUUCGUAGAUAUUCGCAAGAACACCAGUGGCGAAGGCGGCUCACUGGCCCGAUACUGACGCUGAGGAGCGAAAGCGUGGGUAGCAAACAGG
rnacentral:rRNA from 1 species